GAAAGUGUAGCUCUGUGGUAGAGCUUCAGCUUUGCAUGCUGAAGGUCUCAGGUUCAAUCCCUGGCAGUGUCU